rnacentral:rRNA from 1 species
AUUGAACGCUGGCGGCAGGCCUAACACAUGCAAGUCGAGCGGAUGAAGGGAGCUUGCUCCUGGAUUCAGCGGCGGACGGGUGAGUAAUGCCUAGGAAUCUGCCUGGUAGUGGGGGAUAACGUCCGGAAACGGGCGCUAAUACCGCAUACGUCCUGAGGGAGAAAGUGGGGGAUCUUCGGACCUCACGCUAUCAGAUGAGCCUAGGUCGGAUUAGCUAGUUGGUGGGGUAAAGGCCUACCAAGGCGACGAUCCGUAACUGGUCUGAGAGGAUGAUCAGUCACACUGGAACUGAGACACGGUCCAGACUCCUACGGGAGGCAGCAGUGGGGAAUAUUGGACAAUGGGCGAGAGCCUGAUCCAGCCAUGCCGCGUGUGUGAAGAAGGUCUUCGGAUUUUAAAGCACUUUAAGUUGGGAGGAAGGGCAGUAAGUUAAUACCUUGCUGUUUUGACGUUACCAACAGAAUAAGCACCGGCUAACUUCGUG